GCUUGUGACCGUACCACCUGUUCAGGGUCGGGCCUGGUUAGUACUGGGAUGGGAGAUCGCCUGGGAAUACCAGGUGCUGUAAGCU
rnacentral:rRNA from 1 species